rnacentral:rRNA from 1 species
UACGUAGGCAGCGAGCGUUGUUCGGAGUUACUGGGCGUAAAGCGCGUGUAGGCGGCUUUGCAAGUCGGGUGUGAAAGCCCUCAGCUCAACUGAGGAAGUGCGCCCGAAACUGCAGAGCUUGAGUACCGGAGAGGGUGGCGGAAUUCCCCAAGUAGAGGUGAAAUUCGUAGAUAUGGGGGAGGAACACCGGUGGCGAAGGCGGCCGACCCUGGA